AUUGAACGCUGGCGGCAGGCCUAACACAUGCAAGUCGAGCGGUAGCACAGAGAGCUUGCCCUCGGGUGACGAGCGGCGGACAGGUGAGUAAUGUCUGGGAAACUGCCUGAUGGAGGGGGAUAACUACUGGAAACGGUAGCUAAUACCGCAUAACGUCGCAAGACCAAAGUGGUGGACCUUCGGGCCUCAUGCCAUCAGAUGUGCCCAGAUGGGAUUAGCUAGUAGGUGGGGUAACGGCUCACCUAGGCGACGAUCCCUAGCUGGUCUGAGAGGAUGACCAGCCAAACUGGAACUGAGACACGGUCCAGACUCCUACGGGAGGCAGCAGUGGGGAAUAUUGCACAAUGGGCGCAAGCCUGAUGCAGCCAUGCCGCGUGUGUGAAGAAGGCCUUCGGGUUGUAAAGCACUUUCAGCGGGGAGGAAGGCGGUGAGGUUAAUAACCUCAUCGAUUGACGUUACCCGCAGAAGAAGCACCGGCUAACUCCGUGCCAGCCGCCGCCGUAAUAC
rnacentral:rRNA from 1 species